rnacentral:lncRNA from 1 species
UAUUAUAAAUAAAGUUGGAAUUAUAUCAUAUUAACUUCUUAAUUUGAACCUAAAAUCAGAAUCCACGUGCUUUUCUUCCCUUCUCUCGUGUUUUCUGGGGUUAAGAACAUCUUAAGCCUACUGAUAAAUUGAAACUUUUGCACUUAUAAUGAUGGCACAAGGUUGGUAUCCUUCAUGUGGUUGUCCAUUGUGACAAGUUACCAAUCCAUUCUCUCACCUCCACCCCUUUCACACAUGAUCACAAAUUAUUAGUGACCUCUACUCAUCACAUCAUUUCACAAACUUGAAUGGUUGGAUGCACCCGCAGGCAAGAUCCAGAGUCACCGGCCGACUUGUUUCCGGCAUCACGACAAGCUCACAGGAACAACAUUUGAAAUGAAAAAGGCUUUGGGACCAGCACUGCUCGGAUAGCAC